GAUGAACGCUGGCGGCGUGCUUAAUACAUGCAAGUCGAACGAACAGACGAGGAGCUUGCUCCUCUGACGUUAGCGGCGGACGGGUGAGUAACCCGUAGAUAACCUACCUAUAAGACUGGGAUAACUUCGGGAAGCCGGAUCUAAUACCGGAGAAUAUAUUGAACCGCAUGGUUCAAUAGUGAAAGACGGUUUUGCUGUCACUUAUAGAUGGAUCCGCGCCGGAGUAGCUAGUUGGUAGGGUAACGGCUUACCAAGGCAACGAUGCGUAGCCGACCUGAGAGGGGGAUCGGCCACACUGGAACUGAGACACGGUCCAGACUCCUACGGGAGGCAGCAGUAGGGAAUGUUCCGCAAUGGGGGAAAGCCUGACGGAGCAACGCCGCGUGAGGGAUGAAGGUCUUCGGAUCGUAAAACGCUUUUAUUAGGGAAGAACAAAUGUGUGAGUAUCUAUGCACGUCUUGACGGUACCGAAUCAGAAAGCCCCGGCUAACUACGUG
rnacentral:rRNA from 1 species